rnacentral:lncRNA from 1 species
UCAUUUUUGAAAACAGAAAUAAUAUUUUCUUCUUCUUAGAAUGAGUAUGCCAAAAAAAUCUUAAUGUAGAACAAGAACAUUCUAAAAUGUAGACAAUAAAGGUGUAAAAAUUAAGAAUUUCACUAAAAAAAAAGCUUGAUUUCAAUAGUAUUAUAUCAAAACUAGCUCUCCCUUGAUCCCAAUGUAAAGGCUUCAACUUCGGCUUCAAAAUUGUUUCCUCGCUUUUGCUUUCCAAUUCCCCGCCUCCCCCCCCCCCCUACCGUCCUUGACGGCGCCACCAGCUCUGGUGGCCCUGCUAUUAAUGACUUCGAUUCCCGUGACUUUGGUGGUGGUGGUGGAGGCGAAGACCAAAUACUCAAAACUCUGAUGUGAGGAAUUACUAGCCCCAUCCUCAGACGACGAAGGCGAAAAUGACAUAUAUGUCCUCAGCUCCUUGGAUGGAGGUGGUGGGAUAUAACGCGGUAAAGGGGCCAAAAAAUUCAAUAAGCUAUCCAGUGAUUUUGAUGCUAAGCUCCUAGGGCUAUUGGAAUUUAGCACCAUUGUUGAGGUAUUAUCAGAUGACGAAGGAGCCGACGGAUUUUGGUUUUAGGUUAAGGGAUUGUGGGUAGGGGUGAGCGUAAGGGUAAGGGUAAGGGUAAGGGUAAGGGUGAUAAAGUU